rnacentral:lncRNA from 1 species
AACCAUUUCAUUUUCGUUUCACAAGCAAACAUUUGUUAAGCUUCCAAAAUCGAAGGUUGCCACCGUUCUCGCCGCCUACUCUACUAUCGGAAAAGGUAAUUUUUAUGUGAUGAAAGUAAAUUUGGAAUUUAUUUAUGCUAUAAAGAAUAUAUAGUUUAGCCAAUAAGAAAUUUAGCAACUACUGUUAUGUUAAAAAAUCAAGCAAAACAUUUAUACAUUAUACUUUUGAAACCUUUCCCAAUUCAAACUUGAGCCUACAAUGUUAAGUAUUCAAACAUUUUAGGAUCGAUUGUUUCAGCAUGCUACAUGGCUAUGUUGAAUUGAUCUUUUUUUUUUUUUUAAGAUUUUUUUGAUUUAACACAAAUAAUAAUUUUAAAUUUGUACUUUUUUACGUGAAAAAAGAAAAAUAGUUAAACUUCAAGCUGCUAAUUUUAACUUUGUUCUUAAAGUUUAGAACUAACCACUCUAUGCAGUGCGAAGUGUUUGGUGAAAUACUCCGCACACCAAACACUCCGCAGCUUAAAGUUUAGAACUAACCACUCUACGCAGUGCGAAGUGUUUGGUGAAAUACUCCGCGCACCAAACACUCUGCACUGCGUAGAGUGAUAGUCACUUUGCGCUGAGCGGAAUGUCACGGAGUGUCCAAUUUUCUUUUUUCUUUUUUUUCUUGGUACAUAUUUUUGGUAAUUUAGCUAUAACUUUGGCUAUGAUUAUCAGAAUCGCGCCCAUGACCCCAAUUCGAAAAGCUCUUUUCUAUGCGCAAGUCGUGGCCAACAGCUUCUUUGGGUGGGCAUCAUUUUCGUCAAAAUCCGCUAUUUUCCCUUCCAAAUCCCCAAUUAUAGUUAUUCUCUUCCUUUUAUGGCAUCUUCUAUGAAAACAUACUUUCUAUCGUUCUAAAUAUUUAUCAUACAUCAAAAAAAAUAAUAAUAAUAAUUGACAUCAUACACUUUUUUAAAAAAAAAUAAUGUAAAUUAUAUUGAGAAAAUUAUUACGUAAAAAUAAUAAACAUUAAAAAAAAUUGAUUUUUUAGGGAAAAAAAGACAAGUUAUACUUAUUUUUGAACACACACAUUUAAUAUACGUUUAACUAUCUUUGAUAUUCAUUUAGACAAUUCGAUGUGUCCAUGAUAUAGUUCUUGAACUGAGCUUUAAGAGAAUAUAAAACAUUUAUGAAUUCGACUACCGUAUAAUCGUUAACGAAUUUUUAAAAUUAGCUUGUUAUCGAAAUUUUUAAUUUUUUAAAUGAUAUCUCUUUUUACAAUAAAAAUAAUUUAAAAGUUAUUAGGAAUUUUUUAAAUCACGUCAAACAUUUUAUUAAAUUAUUUACAAAAUUAGUUUUGCAGUAGUGGUGAUAUAUUAAUUAAGUUGAAAAAUUAAAAUAGGAUUGAAGGAUAAAAUGGAAAAAUGAAAAUACUUCACAAAUGAAAAGUAAAUGGCAUAUUCAUUCUUACAGUGUAGUGGGAAUAGAAAAAAUAGGAAAAAUAUAUCGAAAAAAUCACUAAGAAUAGGUAAGUUAAAGACUUUGAUGAAAAUACCAUGAUAUGCUUAGAUUUUUUAAAUUUUACACCAUCAUAAAGAUAUUUUGGACAUUCCAAACAAUUUUUGACAAUACUGUUUAUUAAAUAAUUCAAAAACUACUAUCUAUCAAAUUCCUAUUUGCAUUUAACCAUAAUUUCACUUUGAGCUCUCUUCUUCUCUGUCUUUAACCUUAAUUUCAAUCUCCCUCUCUCAAUAUUUAACUUUUAC